rnacentral:rRNA from 1 species
AUUGAACGCUGGCGGCAGGCUUAACACAUGCAAGUCGAGCGGGGUGAUGGUGCUUGCACUAUCACUUAGCGGCGGACGGGUGAGUAAUGCUUAGGAAUCUGCCUAUUAGUGGGGGACAACAUCUCGAAAGGGAUGCUAAUACCGCAUACGUCCUACGGGAGAAAGCAGGGGAUCACUUGUGACCUUGCGCUAAUAGAUGAGCCCAAGUCGGAUUAGCUAGUUGGUGGUGUAAAGGCCUACCAAGGCGGCGAUCUGGAGCGGGUCUGCAUGGAGAAUCCGCCACACUGGGACUGAGACCCGGCCCAGACUCCUACGGGAGGCAGCUGUGGGGAAUAUUGGACAAUGGGGGGAACCCUGAUCCAGCCAUGCCGCGUGUGUGAAGAAGGCCUUAUGGUUGUAAAGCACUUUAAGCGAGGAGGAGGCUCUUUUGGUUAAUACCCAAGAUGAGUGGACGUUACUCGCAGAAUAAGCACCGGCUAACUCUGUGCCAGCCGCCGCAGUAA